CCGAAUCGACCUGUAACCUACUCGUCCUUGAUCUUCAUCACGCGUCCCACGCUGAUUUGUACGACGAAAAUGCUAAGAAACUUCUAGAAAUCGAUGCGUUGGCCUCUCCAACGGUUCAAUCCCUCGUUUCUCGAAUAAGAUUGUACGAUUUCGUACGUAUUUGGCUGAUUUCCAUUGGUUUGGGGGAAAAUUCGUUUUACCCUAUUUUAAUUGGUCCACCCAUUGCAAUCCCUCGGAAGAAAUCCAAAAAAUAGGUACGAAUUGAAGACGAAAACGGGCUGUGGGGGAGGGGUUUUCGAAUUUCAAAUUCAAAUAUCCUUCUUUCAAAUCCCAAAAAGGACCCCAACUCAGUCUUCUAUAAAAAGACCUCUUGGGUCACUGUUUGGGGGGAUUUUUUUUCUCUCUUCUUCCCUCCUGGGUUCGAAAUUUCGGGUUGAGAAUUCGGGAGUUUUCAGAGAAAUGCUGAGAAAGAAAAGGAGUUGGAACAUUUUCUGAGAGAAAAUUCCGGUUCAGAAUUACUUAGGGAGAAAGAAAAGAGGGAGACUUUUUGGAGAAAACUCAAGUCUUUCAAUAGAAAUUCUGUUCCUUCUUGGAGAUUUCAUCGGCUAGGAAAGAAAUUCCGAGUUGACGACAAUAUUCUCUGGUGGUGGCAAAUCCGACGUUAGUUCGAAAUUCUUAUUUUGCUGCUCAAUAUCCGGUUAGUCUACGAAUCUCCCUUAUUUGUACAGUUGCAAUGUAAUAGUAGUAGUGGUAGUUUAGGAAUCGAAUUCGGUGCUUGGUUGUGGUGUUAAGCUGGCUGCUACUGGUGUUUCUUUCUCCUUUCUGCGUCUGUAUAUGAUGGGAUGAUGCGUGAAUACGCGGUGAUGCUGUCUUUAUUGUGUGGUUAAAUAAAAAUGAAGGAGGUCCUCAUUGCUGAAUGUUUGUUGCGUUCCUCAGUGUCUAUGCUGUCUUUAUUGUGGUUCAGUUGAUUUCUUGGAUUUUCUGUUUUGUUGGUUCUUUUAGUUAUUAUGUGGCCUAACCUGCGGCUUUGAUCAUUUUUAUAGCUAAUGUUAUAGAUGCUUGCAUAUUGUUUAAAGAAGAUUUAUGCCUGCCUUGUUUUAAAAGGAUAAAAGAUGCCGCUUAGUUUAUUUAUUGUGUCUAAGUUACCUAAAUGAAGUCUUUCCUUCUAUUUUCAUCGACUCUUAUAGUUAUUGGCUUUGCUCAACCUUGCUAUAUUGGUGUUUUUCGGUCCCGAGCUCUUCAUCAUGAUUCGAAUAAAAUUUGGGUAAACUAGCUAUCUUGGUGAUAUCUGAUUAAGAAGUAAAAAGAGUUGUCUAUUCUUGUUUGAGUUUAAAAUGUGAAGUCCACUUGCCUAAUAUCUCGGUUGUCUCUGGAUCGUCCCUAAUUUUAUCACUACUGCCUCAAUACACGUAUAAGGAGCUUAAUGGUAUGCCUAUCUUGUGAAACACUUAAUUUGUUCCAUCUCAAAAGUGCGUUAAACCUUUUCAUUUAAAUCUUAUUUCGACAUGUUAUUUUGAACUGCUUCCAUCUUCUUAAAAGGUGUUCAACAUUGAAAUUUUUAUUUUCUAUUUGGUGUGAUGGUUUACAGUGCCUUAGUUGUCAAACUUGCGCAUAGAGUCCUCUGUUCUUUCUAGUUCGAUCCGAUUAGUUGAGGUGCUUUGAUUGUAAAGAUCCAUAUGCUUUAUUAAACCUUCUUCAAAUGAAAUGCGUUAUAAUUACUUUCUUCUUACCCAAUCAAUGACUGUAUCACAUUCUGAAUUAGUUGGGUUUUAAUCUUCCUGUUUUGAUUCAUUUUUGUUGUCUCAUUCUGUUCGAAUAGUAGUUCUCUAGUGUGUCGCGCGAAUUUAAUGUUUCUUUUGUUAAUUGGUUUAAUUCAUGUGCUGACUGUUAGCCUGUUCGAUUAAACGAGAAAAAUCGUAGCUUUGUGACUUUGCCGGUUUAAUUUAGCUAGAAUUGUCUUUCCAAUUGUAUGGCUUAUCAUAUUGAACGUGUCCAUUUUCUUGGCGUCUCUAUAUUCAGUUACUGUCUCCUAUUUAUUUUUGUAUUAUCACAAUUGUUUGAUCAUCAACCAACUUGUUAUAUUAUUUAUCCAUGUAGCAUUUCAUAGUUGGGAUGCAUAUUAAUUUCUUUCCUUUCUUCCUUCUUUUGGAUGUGAAUUCGUUGGAGUCCAAAUGGACUCUUUGCAUUCCCUAAUGGGUCAAUAAGGCCCAUCCGUUGAGUCAAGCCCAAAAGAGAGUAAGUUUACAUAGAGCAUGAAUACGAAAAGUCGAACGAAGAAGAAAAAUGAAUUGAAGUCCUACGGUUGAAGCGGCUAAGAGACUCAAAAAUUUCAUUUGUUGUUUUAUUUAGUCAAGUAUCGUUGUCUUUAUUUAUUUUGUUUAUUUAUUUAUUCAUUCGUUUAUUCAGGCCACAAAGUCAAAGUUGUAUUUAAUACAGGUGGAACAAGAUUCGAGCCAAAGGCUCGAAAACUAGAUUAGGACAGGUGAAACGGGUCAAAGGCCCAUUUAGACUAGGACAGGUUUUGUUGGUUUGGGCCCAAUGGCCUAAAUUAUUUACUUUCUCCUCCCUUUCCUUGUUUAUGUGUUUACUUGCUUAUUUCAUUUGUAUAGACUUAGUUAAAAUCCCUAUUAAGUCGUCUAAAAUUGUUUUACACAAAUCCUUUCUAAAAACCAAUCACUUUUCAAUAAUUUAAUCUUUUAGAAGUUAAUCAAAGAUGUUUUCAAAC
rnacentral:lncRNA from 1 species